rnacentral:lncRNA from 1 species
UAAUAAUUGCUAAUUUAUUCUAAUCUAACAACCUAAACAUUAUUAAUUAAAACUAAACCAACCUUAAGCAUAAUUAGCCAACUAAUCCAGAAUUAGUGAGAUUACUCACCGAAUCACCAGCAAAUCGGAUCAAUCCGACGAGGGCGACGCGAGGAACAAUAAACCCCAAAGCACGGCUCGGGUUUGGGGCCCGGAAACGGCCCAAAACGGCCCAAGAGCCGGCUGAAACCCACUUCGUGGAUUGCUGAAUUAGCUGCGAAACAGGGGAAAACAGAGAUGGUUAGAGGCGGAGAGGGGUCGGGAAAGCAAGAGGCGGUCCGGUGAGGCCACACGGCGGCUCCGGCGGCUUGCUCGGCCACUCACGGUGGCUGGACGAGACGGAACAGGGGCGAGAGAUGCACGGGAAAGAC